GAUGAACGCUGGCGGCGUGCCUAAUACAUGCAAGUCGAGCGAAUGGAUUAAGAGCUUGCUCUUAUGAAGUUAGCGGCGGACGGGUGAGUAACACGUGGGUAACCUGCCCAUAAGACUGGGAUAACUCCGGGAAACCGGGGCUAAUACCGGAUAAUAUUUUGAACUGCAUGGUUCAAAAUUGAAAGGCGGCUUCGGCUGUCACUUAUGGAUGGACCCGCGUCGCAUUAGCUAGUUGGUGAGGUAACGGCUCACCAAGGCAACGAUGCGUAGCCGACCUGAGAGGGUGAUCGGCCACACUGGAACUGAGACACGGCCCAGACUCCUACGGGAGGCAGCAGUAGGGAAUCUUCCGCAAUGGACGAAAGUCUGACGGAGCAACGCCGCGUGAGUGAUGAAGGCUUUCGGGUCGUAAAACUCUGUUGUUAGGGAAGAACAAGUGCUAGUUGAAUAAGCUGGCACCUUGACGGUACCUAACCAGAAAGCCACGGCUAACUACGUGCCAGGAGCCGCAGUAA
rnacentral:rRNA from 1 species